GGCCCAUAGUUCUGGUGCAUUGGAAGGGUUCUGGAAUUUUAGAACACAAAGUAGCAGUUUUAAAUAAUGAGAGAAGAUUCCACAUGGAACGCUCAUCUGGCUGUGGCAGCCUGUGACUGAAUGAGAGAAAAGUGCCCUAGAAGCUAUUCAUUACGAAUUCACUGGAAGCUCUCAAACGAGGCUGGCAGAAGCUGAAAUUGAAGUGGUCUCUGACCUAAUUUUCUUCUGCAUGAAACAUCUGCAUCAAGGCUCUCUUUGAUGUAUUCCACUUGGCUCUGUCUAUAGGAUUGUAUCACAUGGACUCGGUGUUGCCUCCUUAUUGAAAGACAUUUCCAGCCUUUGCAAGUGCUUUCUAAUCAAAGCAAUCAGAUAUGAAGCAUUUGGGGGCAGUAGACUCUCUGAGGUCAGUGGUGAUCCAGUUCUCCAACAAGAAGAAAAUAUGGGUGCACAUUGACCUACUUGUUAUGAACCUUCACAGAAGACCCAGGGAAGGCGUUAGAGUUGGGGCCACAAGUUUGCAGCAUCACUGAAAACGAUGCACUCUCCUGCCAAGUCCCAUCUUUGGGAAGGAGGAAAUUGAUUAGAUCCAGGAGGUUUUCAUAAAUGCAGCAAGUGACUUUCUCAGCAUCAUCUGAAACAUCCAAAUCCUACAUGCCCUUCAGGGCCCAGUUCAAAUACUCUCCCAAGAAACCCUCCCUGAUUCUCACCAGCUUCUUCCUGGGAACGCCAACCCAUCGUAUGCUGACAUCACCAUCUCAUUUAAAUAUCAGGUAUACUCUUGGAUUAUCUCUCUUCCUCAAGGCUUCUUGAUGGCAGGGUUUCCAUCCGACUC
rnacentral:lncRNA from 13 species